UACGGGGGGGGCAAGCGUUGUUCGGAAUUACUGGGCGUAAAGGGCUCGUAGGCGGCCAACUAAGUCGGACGUGAAAUCCCCAGGCUCAACCUGGGAACUGCGUCCGAUACUGGAUGGCUUGAAUCCGGGAGAGGGAUGCAGAAUUCCAGGUGUAGCGGUGAAAUGCGUAGAUAUCUGGAGGAACACCGGUGGCGAAGGCGGCAUCCUGGACCAACACUGACGCUGAGUGAGCGAAAGCCAGGGGAGCGAACGGG
rnacentral:rRNA from 1 species